UACAUAGGGGGCAAGCGUUAUCCGGAUUUACUGGGUGUAAAGGGUGCGUAGGCGGUUAGGAAAGUCAGAUGUGAAACCCCGUAGCUUAACUACGGGCAUGCAUUUGAAACUCCUUGACUAGAGUACAGGAGAGGUAAGUGGAAUUUCUAGUGUAGCGGUAAAAUGCGUAGAUAUUAGGAAGAACACCAGUGGCGAAGGCGACUUACUGGACUGAAACUGACGCUGAGGCACGAAAGCGUGGGGAGCGAACAGG
rnacentral:rRNA from 1 species